rnacentral:rRNA from 1 species
UACGUAGGGGGCAAGCGUUGUCCGGAAUUAUUGGGCGUAAAGAGCGUGUAGGCGGUCCGGUAAGUCGGCUGUGAAAGUCCAGGGCUCAACCCUGGGAUGCCGGUCGAUACUGCCGGACUAGAGUUCGGAAGAGGCGAGUGGAAUUCCCGGUGUAGCGGUGAAAUGCGCAGAUAUCAGGAGGAACACCGGUGGCGAAGGCGGGUCUCUGGGCAGUAACUGACGCUGGAGGAGCGAAAGCGUGGGGAGCGAACAGG